rnacentral:rRNA from 1 species
UACGUAGGGGGCAGGCGUUGUCCGGAUUUAUUGGGCGUAAAGAGCGUGUAGGCGGCCAGGUAGGUCCGUUGUGAAAACUCGAGGCUCAACCUCGAGACGUCGGCGGAAACACUCUGGCUAGAGUCCGGAAGAGGAGAGUGGAAUUCCUGGUGUAGCGGUGAAAUGCGCAGAUAUCAGGAAGAACACCCGUGGCGAAGGCGGCUCUCUGGGACGGUACUGACGCUGAGACGCGAAAGCGUGGGGAGCAAACAGG